UAUUACUCGCUUUAUGACUUAUCUCCCGCAGCGCUGGCACCCGGAGAACCGCCCCAUGGCGCUCGCUAAGAAUCCACCGGCUGCCGGGCUCGGAGGACAUGUUGCAGGCCCCGUGUAAUGCCCUCGGCGCCUGUGCGACUUCCAGGGGGUCUGCGUUUCACGGCCCCGUUACCAGCUGGGAAGUUCUCCAUAUAGGGGACGAUAUCCUGUCCAGCACCAGCUUCACCGUCUGGGACCAAGUGCACGAGGGGGUCGCACUGCAAGCACAUGAAAGAAGGGCACUGCGACUUUGAGGUCAAGCUUGUACAUCUACCAUUACAGAGUCCUAAAUGGAUGCCAAUUGCUACUGAUGACCUUAUGAAGGUGAAACGUCCCUGGAUUAAAGGGAAAAUCUGAUUGAAGGCGAGCUGAAGUUGUUUCUGACUUUAUUCUCUUAUGACUUGAAAGUAAUCUGCCUACUUCAUGAACUUUGAAGAUGCAAAAUUUGUUUCCGUAACUGUCCCACUUCAACGUAAUGUGCACAUUGAAACCUAUUCCUUUUCUUUUUCUGUUUUUUGGCAAGAAAAAAAAGCCAACGAAUCUCAAUCUUCCUUUUCGCAAUGGGGAGGUGUGGAAGAUUGAUUGGAUAUUUUAUAUACGCAACCAGUUUCAUAAGUGAAUGAAGAUAAAAGCAGAAUACAUGUUCACAGAUUAUUUGUGAAUCCUUAGACUUGGUGAAGUGAGUAGUUUAUGUUCGAGUCAUGUAAUUAUAAAGUCAAAACCAGCUUUAGUGCAUUUUUAAGAAGUCUUUUAGACCUGAGAGUUCUGCUUUGACUCGGCAAUACACGACUCUCCUUUGUUAUUCCUAUAGCACAGCCGAAACUAUAAACACGAGCAUGUUGCCUGACCAAUGCUUGAAGUGCCGUGAAAUCGACGAAGUCCCUAUCCUUCGAGAACAAGUGUCAACGGGGAUAGUCGAAAGACCAGGGUAUUUAUUGCACACGCAUACUUGAUUUCAGGCUUGCAGAUUGAAGUAAUUGUUUAUUGAAUCCAUUCUUAAACCUGUUUGAGAUUGUAUUGGUUCAUAUUCACAGUAUAUUUAUUUUUAAUUUCAGCAAGGAAUAAUUUAGAGACAGAUGUUGGUGUUCAGGCGUGAUGCUUUUAUUUUCGUAACAUGCAAGAGUGCAAAAAAUUAGACUUGGCUUUGUAAGCUGAUCUUUUUAUGUAUUCUUCCAAACAGCAUAGCAAGCAAUAAUAUAAGGGCUACAGCUGCAAAAGUGGCUACACCUGGCAUCUCAUUUGUUUUAUAGCGUGUACAGGUGAGACACUAUACUCCGUUUCACAGUCACUUGGCAAACAUUGUGACCCAAUAAGAGCAUCGGAGCCAGGCACAUGACAACACUCCACGGUCGAGUCCUCGUUAUCGCCACAGCAAGAGCGCCAUCUGCGACAAAACAUAGUUCUAGGUUUUUUUUUUUUUUCUCUUCUUCUUUUAGUAGUGUUGCCGUCAGAUUCUUCGAACCGCAACACUACAUGACACUGAAGAAAGACUAAGACAUAUGUUACUUAUUAACGACACUUAAUAUAGAUCAACACUUUUGAGAAAAAUAUGGCUUGUGAUCGACGUUCAAACAAUUGUAGCCGUGAAUCGACCACUUCCGCUCAAAACAUCGCCCUAGCAUUAGCACCCGCCACAGAUUCAUGGGCAAAUUGAGCAUGUGGUUGCCUCAUAAAAGUGUUACUGAAGACCUCGCUACUCUAGCGGACGGUAAAGGCCGGUUCUCACAUGCAGCGAAGCGCUCCUCACGUGCCGUCAGCUACUUAUUGUCUGCCAUGAGCAACAGUUUCGACGGUGCGAUACAAAGCUGGUGAACGCUCCCGUCAUCACGCGCUUAGCGCGAGGUCAGCGCUAUGCUUGUAGCGCUCCGCUGCAUGUGUGAACAGGCCUUAAUGUUGCUGCAGUGGACGUCCAUCCGAAUUCGUUUGGUUUCUGAGCAUUUGACAGCCGGUUCUGGUGGGUGGUCCUUGCAUUUGGCGCGGUGACACGGACGCUCCUGUGACAUGCUGCCAUGUGCCUCGCUCCGACAUUCUUACUGGGUCGCAGGAGCCGUAGCCUCCACAGUUCACCAAGCUAUCGUGAAACAGAGUGUAGACUAAGUUGUCUGCUAAUGAAAGUAGCAUUGCCAGCAUCAUGUAUUAUGUAUGAAACAGUGUUUACUUCGAGAAAACAAAUAAA